AAUAACAAUGUAGGUAAGGGAAGUUGGCAAGUCAGAUCCAUAAUUUCGGGAUAAGGAUUGACUCUAAGGGCUGGGUCGGUCGGGCUGGAGUGCGAAGCGGGGCUGGGCUGGGCUCGAGCCGCGGCUGGGGGAGCAGUUGCUCCAUCGCCCUCUCGCCACCGUUGGAAGUUUGUUGUGCGGCCCAUCUUGCGGUCUCUCGUGCGUGGUCUCGCAAGGGGGUGCUUGUGGGGGUUUGUCGGGGUGUUAUCUGUCGGCUGGCCAAAGGCGGACCGGUGUGGGGUUGGCGGCGGCGACUCUGGAUGCACGCCGGGACCUUAUCGCGAAUCUCCCCAGCUAUGGCCCCGUUUGCCUAGCAGCUGACUUUGAACUGGUGCGGACCAGGGGAAUCCGACUGUUUAAUUAAAACAAAGCAUUGCGAAGGUCCAAGGUGGUUGUUGACAAGAUGUGAUUUCCGCCCAGUGCUCUGAAUGCCAAAGUGAAGAAAUUAAAUGAAGCGCGGGUAAACAGCAGGAGUAACUAGGACUCUCUUAAGGAGUCCUUAGCCCAGGACAUUGGGGUUCCAUGCUUCCCGAAAUAAUGUGAAGUCGAAUACGGGCGACCCCAAACCAUACAUUGUCACCUGCUUGCAGGUGGCCCUAACAUUGCAACAAACUGGAGCAAAAGGUGCCUUCAGAUCGAACGAAAACCUGAUCCGGCUGAGAGGGACUACCUCGGAUAGGUUAAAGUGGGAGGUAAGGGAAGACGGAAAAGUCAGAUCCAUAACUUCGGGAUAAAUAGUACCGUAGCCCUUGGAGGGCUCUUCCAACCCCUACUCUGUGUCUCACCUGUUUGAGGGAGUCUCUCCAAUUGCUAGGAGACAAACUGUCUCUAGCAUGUUAGUACAGGGGGGUAAGGGAGAUAGAGGUAGCCCUCUAGCAAGGCUCUUCAAAUCCCUCCCUGAAUGUCACCUAUUUUCAGGUGUCGCUAACAAUGCAAACCAAAUGGGAGUUACUUGCCGAUGGUGACGGCUGUUGAUCGUUUACGGAAGGCGGUAAUUGGUCCUGGAAUAUGGGACUUUCGGUCAAGCAUAAAAAUGUGAUGGCGGUUCCACCAGACUCAAUGAUUUGCUGCGGGGCUCUUGUAAACAAAUCCUGACCUUGACAGGAAGCCAAUCUGAAAAUGAUGGCUUGAACACAUCCCUGGCUUUGGCUGGGAGGGGGGAGUUAAGUCCUGGGAGACGGCUGAUGAAAGUGUACCGCUGGCAUCAGUCUGAUCACAGAGCGGCUGUGGUGAAAUGUUUAAACACGCAUCCCCCGUAUACUUAGCUAACUCUAAACCGCAAAGGUUUGAAUCGACACUUGCUUCGGCUGGAUCCGCUAACAGUGGAGCACUAAAUAGAGAUGGAAUGUGCUUAGCGGUUAUGUACACUGCGAGAUGCGGGACGCUACACAUUCUAUGUGGGAGCUCUCCUUCAUGCUCCUAGGAGCAUGUAGUGGAGAUGGCAUGUGCCUUACCAUUAGCUGACACUACCAGGCCUCAGGCUUGCCUGAGUGCGGGACAUCGCACAUUGUAGGUGGGGAAGUCUCCUCUAAGCUCACUAGACUCGAGGUGGAGACUAAACCCAUUGGCCGCGCAGUAAUAGGGCAUUGCAUGGAUCUGGCUCAUGCCCGACAAAGUCGGGAGAGGCAUCUCCAGUUUCUCCCGGGAGGGAGGCCUACAUCUGAUGUGGGUGGUACCAUCCACACCCAUUAAUUUGCUGCGGACCCAUAAAAUGGACGGAAUAAGUUUAGAUUCCCACUGGGCACGGAUCACUGAAUGUCAACUUGAUGAAAUUCAAAGGAGUGUGCCCACCUGUAGUAAUCCUGCUCAGUACGAGAGGAACCGCAGGUUCAGACAUUUGGUGUAUGUGCUUGGCUGAUGAGCCAAUGGUGUGAAGCUACCAUCUGUGGGAUUAUGACUGAACGCCUCUAAGUCAGAAUCCACCCUAAACGUAACGAUACCGUAGCGCCGCAGAUCUUCGGUUGGCCCGGGAUAGCCUGCCUCUUUUGGCAGGUGAGUAGAACCGUUCGUGACGGGGUUGGGUUGCGGCCUGAUGAGUUGCCCGCCCCUCUCCUGAUGCGCACUGCAUCUUUGUGGGGAACCUGGUGCUACAUCACUCGUAGACGACCUGAUUCUAGGUCAAGGUUUCGUACGUAGCAGAGCAGCUCACUCGCUGCGAUCUAUUGAAAGUCAGCCCUCGAACCAAGCUUU
rfam:Salmo salar isolate Sally breed double haploid chromosome ssa22, whole genome shotgun sequence.